CAGUGUCCACUCCCUUGAUGUCUGUAGUAUCACCCUUCUUGUACAUUCACAUGUAUGUGGUCAAAGAAACAACCAGUGUUUUCUAAAAGGCUUAGAGAACAUACAGAAGAUCCCCCUUCUCUUACAAAAAGCAACUGACAGCCCUCACAGCACUGUUUCACCAAUGAAGAAGAAUGAGUAGAAGGAGGAAACACCAGGAGCUUCUGACUACAUCUUACUGGUGAGAAAUGUGUUGCAAGUGUCCUUACCGCAAAACAGUCUGAGAGGAAAAACUUGGCUGCACAGUCUCUACAGUAGAACAAGGAAGACAAGAGGAGAGUUGGAAAUGUUUGUUGAGUAAGCCAACCUACAACAUCUGCCAGUUUUUCUUUUAGAGAUUUAAUUUCAGACCUCAUUUCAAGAUGGUUUCUCCCUCCGCUCAUUUUCAGUAGCUGCAAAUGUACAAGAAGGAAAUUUGCUGAAAAAUAAACUCAGAUAAAGAAA